rnacentral:rRNA from 1 species
AGUUCAGAUUGCAGGCUGCAACUCGCCUGCAUGAAGGUGGGAAUUGCUAGUAAUCGCGAAUCAGAAUGUCGCGGUGAAUACGUUCCCGGGCCUUGUACACACCGCCCGUCAAGCCAUGGAAGCCGGGGGUGCCUGAAGUGCGCUGCCGCAAGGAGCGCCCUAGGGUAAAACCGGUGACUGGGGCUAAGUCGUAACAAGGUAGC